GGCUUUGUAGCUCAACUGAAUAGAGCAUCGCACUUCGGAUGCGAGAGUUGCAGGUUUGACUCCUGUCAAGGUCA
rnacentral:tRNA from 1 species